GUGGGGAAUUUUGGACAAUGGGCGCAAGCCUGAUCCAGCCAUGCCGCGUGCAGGAUGAAGGCCUUCGGGUUGUAAACUGCUUUUGUACGGAACGAAAAGACUCCUUCUAAUAAAGGGGGUCCAUGACGGUACCGUAAGAAUAAGCACCGGCUAACUACGUGCCAGCAGCCGCGGUAAUACGUAGGGUGCGAGCGUUAAUCGGAAUUACUGGGCGUAAAGCGUGCGCAGGCGGUUAUGUAAGACAGAUGUGAAAUCCCCGGGCUCAACCUGGGAACUGCAUUUGUGACUGCAUAGCUAGAGUACGGCAGAGGGGGAUGGAAUUCCGCGUGUAGCAGUGAAAUGCGUAGAUAUGCGGAGGAACACCGAUGGCGAAGGCAAUCCCCUGGGCCUGUACUGACGCUCAUGCACGAAAGCGUGGGGAGCAAACAGGAUUAGAUACCCCAGUAGUCC
rnacentral:rRNA from 1 species